ensembl:lncRNA
CAAGGAUAAGCUGAGACUCAGAACACUUUGCUGCUCUCUUGUGGUUAUUAGGUUAAUUAUUUUGUUUUGUUUAUUAUAAAGCUUUUCUGAUUAAAAUUCUGAAAGGGUGUGAAAUUUUGAAGAGCAUUUCCUAUGUGAGGCCACUGACAGGAAGUGUGAAUAUCGCCAACCACAGUGCAACAUGACAUGCAGAACUCGUUCACCCACUGCAUUAACAGCUACUGCAAGGCUUUACCAAGUAGCAGAUAUCAGAAGGAUUUCAUUUUGAAUUCAGCAGAUGAGUGGAUAACAAUGGGUUUCAAUCAAUCUGAGGGUACUUCUCAUCCUCUCAGUUUCAGGUUUUUAACCAACUUUUCAAAAAUGGUCGUGUUGUCCAUCCUUUGGUGUUUUGUGUUUUUUCUGGCAUUCAGUAUCUGCUUGUUUUUAUUUUAUUUUCAGCAGAACAAAAAGCAAAAAUCACAACCGAAUGGAUAUGAGGUCACAGAAGAAGAUGUUUCUUUAAAUGAGAUCUCUGAAAAGAUGAAGAAAAGAGAAAAAAAUAAAAGUUACAAAGAGCGGGUAAACUCAGUGUACUAUGAGUGGUUUACGGAUCACUUACCACAUAGGAAACCAGGCAAUUCAGAUUGCACAGUAGAGUACAAAUAAAUGAACUAGUCUAAAACAAUGAACUCUGGUCUUGUUUCAGUCAUAAAAAAUGUCUUAAUAACGUAUUAUAGUGCAAACACCUUUUGUUUUCAUUGGUCACGAUAAGAGGGCCACAAGAGGGCCUAAAUCACUAAUUAGGUGAGAUUCAUAAACAACAAAAAAUUAAAAGUAUAGUUUACAAG